UACAGGGGGUGCAAACGUUGCUCGGAAUCAUUGGGCGUAAAGCGCACGGAGGCGGUUCGUUAUGUCGGAUGUGAAAGCCCUUGGCUUAACCGAGGAAGUGCAUCCGAAACUGGCGAGCUAGAGUACUAAAGAGGAUCGCGGAAUUCCCGGUGUAGAGGUGAAAUUCGUAGAUAUCGGGAGGAACACCGGUGGCGAAGGCGGCGAUCUGGGUAGAUACUGACGCUGAGGUGCGAAAGCGUGGGGAGCAAACAGG
rnacentral:rRNA from 1 species